GUGUGCUUCUGUAUAUAUAUGCUAAAAUUGGAAUGAUACGAAAAUUAGCAUGGUCCCAGCACAAGGAAGACAUGCAAAUUCGUGAAGUGUUCCAUAUUUAU
rnacentral:snRNA from 1 species